rnacentral:piRNA from 1 species
GAAUGCCCUAACUGAGAUGCUGAGACCAU